UACGGAGGGGGCUAGCGUUGUUCGGAAUUACUGGGCGUAAAGCGUGCGCAGGCGGCCAUCCAAGUCAGUGGUGAAAGCCCGGAGCUCAACUCCGGAACUGCCAUUGAAACUGUUUGGCUCGAGUCCGGGAGAGGUGAGUGGAACUGCGAGUGUAGAGGUGAAAUUCGUAGAUAUUCGCAAGAACACCAGUGGCGAAGGCGGCUCACUGGCCCGGUACUGACGCUGAGGUGCGAAAGCGUGGGGAGCAAACAGG
rnacentral:rRNA from 1 species